AUGUUCAGCAAGAACACGAAAGAAGGAGAUAGGAGAGGUAUGAUGAACGACAUGGGGCUGCAAAAGGAGACUUGGAAUGAAAAAUAUUUGGGCAUGCCGGUGUUUGUGGGUCACUCCAAGAACAAAGCGUUUGCCUAUAUUAAGGACCGCGUGUGGAAACGGAUCCAAGGAUGGAUGGAGAAAAUGUUGAGCAAGGCUGGGAAAGAGAUACUGAUUAAAGUGUGUGCACAAGCUAUUCUGACGUACACGAUGUCAGUUUUUAAUCUUACUAAGGGGCUAUGUGAACAGAUGACGACCAUGAUUUGUAGGUACUUCUGGGCACAGCAGGACCAUGAUAAGAAAAUUCAUUGGUUGUCAGCAGAGAAAUUUACUUUACCGAAGAAAGAUGGAGGUUUGGGCUAUAAAGAUCUGCAUACUUUUAAUAUGGCAAUGUUGGCAAAGCAAGGAUGGCGGCUGCUCCAAAAUCCGGAUAGUUUGUGCGGGCGAGUUCUGAAGGCAAGGUACUUUCCAGAUACUGACAUGCUACAUGCAGAACCAAGGGAAGGGAUCUCUUAUACUUGGAGAAGUAUCCUAAAAGGGGUGCAGAUUAUAAAGCAAGGAAUUAUCAAGAGGGUAGGGACGGCACAAGCAUUAAGGUGUGGGAGGACCCUUGGUUGCCGAGGAACUGGGACCGAAGGCCAUUUUUGCUGGGAGGAAACACACUGA
rnacentral:rRNA from 1 species